ensembl:lncRNA
CGAGGGAACGAAAUAGUAAAUCGUGAACACGAUUUAGUCUACUAUUUUUUUUUUUCCUGCAUGCCAUGUGCGAGGCUCCGUACUUGACCUCUUUAAAGUCUGGUUGCAUGUAAUCCUCAGUCAAUUAUUAUGAUGAUUUAUUAUGUAUGAUGCCCAGUCAUGAAGUCAUUCACAGAAGCAAUUCUCUUUUUGCUGAUUUGGGGUAGGGUGGGUGUUGGCAGUGAUGACUCAUGCCAGAAUGCCACACUUCUACCCACACUAUCACAAUGUCACCUAGGCAAACAUUGCCUGGUGCUCUGAGUUGACAAAUAGCUGUGGUUGUGUGUAUGAAGAGGGCUGGGAUUGAGUUGAAGGGGAGGUCCGGGUGCCUCACUGUAGCUCUUGGAGAGUUGGGUGUGUCUGGGUGUCAUGUGGUUUUGUGAAGGAGUUUUUGAGUUCCAGCAGUCGUCCUCAUGCCUUACUGUCUCCUCAAGAAUGGAUUUUUACAUGCCAAAGAGAGGGAAAAAAAAUAAAAAAAGAUGAAUGGAGCAGAACAAGACUACAAUAUUACAUAAUUCCUUUCACAGACCAAUACAACCCUACUCACCAAAACUGGACAUAUCAAACUCUCCUCUGGGAGAUCAUGGAUGAGCAAAACCUCCAGUCACCAUGACCAUUUCUCUAAGAACCUUCUAACUGCCAAGCUAACUGAAUAUUUAAACUUUUGCACGUGUGAGAACACAUUCGGGCUGCAUUCUGGAGGCCUUGGAGAAGCAGAUUCGUGACCUGGUGGAGAGACAGGGCCAGCUGAGAGAGCGGGGAGCCGUGCUGGAAACCUCCCAGGCUGACACUCACAAGUCCGGGGUAAAUAUGCAGCAUGCUGCUAACAGUCCCACCACCUCUACUCUGUGUGUUUCUCUGCAAAGGCAUGGUGCACCCAGGACGCGAUCUUCCCAGAUGUCCUUCUCUCCGACACCACAGACCCUGGGGGCACCCGCAUCGGAAGACGCGAGCCAGGCCCCGGACGAUGACCUCUCCCCCUCCACCAUGUCCAGUCUUCGAGAUCUCCACCCGGAACCACUUCACUCACCAGCCUAAGCGAGACGGUGCACAGCACAUUGCUCAUGACGAUGAUCAUCGUGUCAGAACCGCUUCCCAUGUAUCGACGAGGAUAUGAAAGGUUCAGUAGACUUUUUGCUUUAAAUGAAUGGUUAUUGUCAUGGCGUAAAGAACAGAAACUGCUCUUUGUUAAUAACUGGAAUCUUUUCUGGGAGCGUCCUAGGCUCUUUCACACUGAUAGCCUGCACCCCAGCAGAGUUGGAGCAGAACUCCUUUCUGACAAUAUCUCCAGGACACUGCGCUCCAUAUGACUACGAUUACACAAGCUUCAGUCUGGAUCCAGAACACUUAAAAAGAGAUGAUGCCAACCCUGAAACAACAUACAGAACUACCAAAUUUUGCUAUAAGUUUGAUUGCAUCUUAUAAUAAUUGCUGUUAAUAGUGUUCACCGUCUGUUUGAUUACGUCUUUAAUAGAUUUUUCUGUACAUUUCUGAACUUUCAAUGAGUCACACA